ensembl:lncRNA
GUUUGACCUUUUUCAAAAUAAAACUUUGGAGGGGAGAAAAAAGAACUGUCAUGAUUUUUAUUCAGGAUAUACAUGCUAGGCUUUUGGGUGCUUUCCUGAAUGGAAUCUUUUGACACUAUGACCAGCUGUAUUGUGAACGGGAUAAUUUUUAAAAAGAUGGAGUUAAAGUAGAGAUGACGUCCCUUACCCAGAGGAAAACGAUGAGUUUCCACUUUGCUGCUAAUGGAAUCGCUAAGCACCCUGUGGCGUGUCGGUGUAUUUGUGAAUGGAGCCUCACUUUGCGCAACGACGGAGUUGCAGAUCCCAUUUAGUGAAUCCUGCUUGCUCUACCUUCAGGAUAUAUCCAGCUGCUGCCCCUGCCAUCCUGUCCAGGCCAUUGCCACCUCUUGUCUGAAUCAUCACAGAGCCUCUAACACGUCUCCCUUCAUCCUUUUGCCCCUGACACGGUGGAGAAGAGACCAAACAGCUGCCAGAGAUCCUCAGCAUGGCGCCCUGGGGCACCGAGGACGCGUGUGCUGCUGUGAAAGCAGAAGCCAGAAUUCUCAUGAUGACUUCAGGGCCCCCUGUGACUCGGCCCCUACGUCCUUCUCUUCAUGCCCUCGCACACUUCUCACCUCUCAUUCUAUUCCAGCCACAGGGGUCUGGCUUCCGUUCCCUGAACUCUCAUGCCCUGAGGCCUUUGCACUCGCUGUCCCUUCUGCCCACACUGCUCUUCUCUAGGGUAUCUGACAGCUCACUCCCUCACCUCUUUCAGGGCUUUCAAAUGCCACCUUCCUCAUGGAGCCUUCCUGGUCAUUCUAUUCAUAAUUUCUCCCCUAAUGGAAACCCUUCACCCCACUAUGUCCCUGAUUUCAUUUUCUCUUUAGAACUUAUGAUGAUCUGACAUACAUAUUUAUAUUAUAUAUUUUAUAU